UUAAGUUCAGCGGGUAUUCCUACCUGAUCCGAGGUCAACAUUCAGAAGUUGGGGUUUAACGGCGUGGCCGCGACGAUUACCAGUAACGAUGUGUAAAUUACUACGCUAUGGAAGCUCGACGUGACCGCCAAUGUAUUUGGGGAGUGCAGCAGGACUGCAGCUCCCAACACCAAGCUGGGCUUGAGGGUUGAAAUGACGCU
rnacentral:misc_RNA from 1 species